UGGGGAAUAUUGGACAAUGGGCGAAAGCCUGAUCCAGCCAUGCCGCGUGUGUGAAGAAGGUCUUCGGAUUGUAAAGCACUUUAAGUUGGGAGGAAGGGCAUUAACCUAAUACGUUAGUGUUUUGACGUUACCGACAGAAUAAGCACCGGCUAACUCUGUGCCAGCAGCCGCGGUAAUACAGAUGGUGCAAGCGUUAAUCGGAAUUACUGGGCGUAAAGCGCGCGUAGGUGGUUUGUUAAGUUGGAUGUGAAAGCCCCGGGCUCAACCUGGGAACUGCAUCCAAAACUGGCAAGCUAGAGUACGGUAGAGGGUGGUGGAAUUUCCUGUGUAGCGGUGAAAUGCGUAGAUAUAGGAAGGAACACCAGUGGCGAAGGCGACCACCUGGACUGAUACUGACACUGAGGUGCGAAAGCGUGGGGAGCAAACA
rnacentral:rRNA from 1 species